rnacentral:rRNA from 1 species
UUCCGGUUGAUCCCGCCGGAGGUCACUGCUAUCGGGGUUCGAUUAAGCCAUGCGAGUCGAGAGGGUUCGGCCCUCGGCGUACUGCUCAGUAACACGUGGAUAACCUGCCCUAAGGAAGGGGAUAACCCCGGGAAACUGGGGAUAAUACCCUAUAGGUUACAGAUGCUGGAAUGCUCUGUAACCGAAAGCUCCGGCGCCUUAGGAUGGAUCUGCGGCCGAUUAGGUUGUUGUCGGGGUAACGGCCCAACAAGCCAGUAAUCGGUACGGGUUGUGGGAGCAAGAGCCCGGAGUUGGAUUCUGAGACACGAAUCCAGGCCCUACGGGGCGCAGCAGGCGCGAAAACUUUACAAUGCGGGCAACCGUGAUAAGGGAACCUCGAGUGCCUGUAUAUGCAGGCUGUCUGGGUGUCUAAAACACACCUAAAGAAAGGGCCGGGCAAGACCGGUGCCAGCCGCCGCGGUAAUACCGGCGGCUCGAGUGGUGGCCACUUUUAUUGGGCUUAAAGCGUUCGUAGCUGGGUUAUUAAGUCCCUUGGGAAAUCCGACGGCUUAACCGUCGGGCGUCUAAGGGAUACUGGCAAUCUUGGAACCGGGAGAGGUGAGGGGUACUUCGGGGGUAGGAGUGAAAUCCUGUAAUCCUCGAGGGACCACCUGUGGCGAAGGCGCCUCACCAGAACGGCUUCGACAGUGAGGGACGAAAGCUGGGGGAGCAAACCGGAUUAGAUACCCGGGUAGUCCCAGCCGUAAACGAUGUGCGUUAGGUGUAUCGGUGACCACGAGUCACCGAGGUGCCGAAAGGGAAACCGUGAAACGUACCGCCUGGGAAGUACGGUCGCAAGGCUGAAACUUAAAAGGAAUUGGCGGGGGAGCAC